rnacentral:lncRNA from 1 species
GACGGUUCAUAUGUUCACAGAUUAUGGAACAGGAGCUAAUCAAUAUUAUUGAACAAAUUUGGAUUCGGACUUCAACACAUAUUUUUUCUUCCAUUGUAACUGACUUUUAUAUUUCAUUAAGUUUGCUUGAUACAGAAAUAGAGAACAAGAGAGAAAUAGAUAAAAACUAAUCUAAUAGUGAAAGUAUCAAACUCACCGCAACUUCAGUUCGCAAGAAAAUACCGGGUUGACUAAAUUUAUGUACACCCAUGCAAUCGAGCUUAUCAAUUAUAUGAAAAUACACAUUAAUCACCUAAUUAAGAAAGUCAUC